AACAGGUAAACAUGCUAAUUCAGCACAGUGCUGUUUUCAGUACCAAAUAAGGGCAUGCAGUACAACAGAUGUGCAGCUGCAUAGCAACACAAAGAUUUUUUUUUUUUGCUGUUCUUGCAAAGAAGAAAAGAAGUUGAGUUUAGACAUGGUUUGAGAGCUGUUUGACAAAACUGUGGAACUAGGAAGGACAAGCAAGUAAAAGGUUGAAUGGGGCUCAACAAAGUGGAGACCAAUUGAAGUCUAUAUUGCCCAAGUUUCAUAGCACAAUAAGAUGAUGUUGAAAGUGACACAUGUUGGAGAGAGCAUUAUACUGGACACCCUUGUAUGACCACACCACUGUAAAGUAUCGACACAAUUGGAGGUGAUGCUGAGAAGUCAAAGGCAGUAUCUUGCAAUUGCAGUGAUCUGAGUGCAGACUUGCUAUGUUUAACUAUGUUAAAAGAAACCUUUCACUUUUGUAUGUCCUUAUCGUUUGUUUAGAUACAAUUUUAAUACUGAAUUGAUGUAUUGUUGUUUUUAAUGUUUGAAAUUAAUUUAGCACAAUACAAUCAGCACACAUGUGCCGGUUUUGACACAGUAAAAAUGACAUAUACUAAUUUGACACCCGUG